CAACCACAAAACCCUAACUCCCUCCCUCUCUCUUUCGUUCGCUUCCCUCCCCCUCGAAUACCAACUGGACGUGUCCUCCCACAGUCCGCCGCGCCCCCAUGCCGUGGUGAAGAAAAACCUGGAGCAGGAGCCGGAGAUGCUGCCGUGCCACGUCUUGGCGUCACCACUCUCCCCGCAGCUCUGUCUCUCCGUCUCUCUGCCUCGUUUACGACGGCCAUAGCGGGUCAUCGCCACCAACCCGUGCCACCGUCGUUUCCUCCUCCACCAUUUCAGGUCAGUUAAAAUCAUCACUCAGCCAUCCCCUUUGUGGUUGCAGAUUUGCCGCGCCGUUCGCUUGUUUUCCCUCACCAACUCCCGCCCUUAUUUCGUCUUUCUUUUCUAGGGUUUUCUCCCGCCCCUCACUUAGGGUUCUGCACACAAUGUUAAUUCUUCAAUUUGUUACUAUUAUUUCGCAUUAGGAAUUCAAAAAUUUUCUAGGUUUUGCUCUUUAAUUACUUGAUUUAUUUCCUUGAAUUUAGCAUCAAACGAGGAGGUUUUGCAUCUCAUUUUCACUCUUGGUUGUUAGCUGAAUCUAUAUUCAAGUUUAGUUCCUUGGUUAAAUCUGGAAUUUAUGACGAUUUAAUCUAGCCGAUACACUAAUUGAGCCGUUUUGGUAUAUGUAUAGAUGGUUUAUUUUCCUCAAUAGUCUCUAUUUGCUUACUCCGCUUUCAUUUUAAAGAAGUAGUUCAAUAGCAGAUGCAUUCUGUAUUUUGUUUAGUUGUUGAUGGAUAUUUCUUCGAUUCAUGUUAAUGGUAGCUAUUUCUCAGAAGCAACUUACUUAGUACUAGAAAACUUACUUAGUUUCAAUUAUGGUCUAUGUUUGAUUUGGAUGCGCGUGUUCGAUGGAGUACUAGAAAAAAAAGAAGUUUAUUUUGUUUAAUCUUAAAUGAAAUUACAGCGACCCCAUUUCAAACAUUUGGUCUGCAACCCUGUCCACGCCAACGCAAAUGGAAGAAACCCCAACAUCGAACUCGUCAACUCGCUGCAAGCUCAAAUGGAAUCUCUCCGAGAAAGGAUAAACGUAUUCAAUUCAGUCGCAGCGUCUUUCUCUUAUUCAACUCGUAGUCCAGUGAUUGUCAAUAAUACCAAAAAGUCUUCCAACUUAUAUCUUUUGUUGNUCAAAUGGAGACUUAAAUCGAGCCCUAAUCUCCCAACCCUCUGCAAUCGACCGUGGUCCGAGCAUCCACCAAUGCUGCCAGAAGCUGACGCCGUCGACCCCGUUGCACGUGCCGUCCGAUGACUAAGCCUCUGCUCCCAUUCCCGGCGGCGAAGCCG
rnacentral:lncRNA from 1 species